rnacentral:rRNA from 1 species
GACGAACGCUGGCGGCGUGCUUAACACAUGCAAGUCGAACGGAAAGGCCCUGCUUUUGUGGGGUGCUCGAGUGGCGAACGGGUGAGUAACACGUGAGUAACCUGCCCUUGACUUUGGGAUAACUUCAGGAAACUGGGGCUAAUACCGGAUAGGAGCUCCUGCUGCAUGGUGGGGGUUGGAAAGUGUCGGCGGUUGGGGAUGGACUCGCGGCUUAUCAGCUUGUUGGUGGGGUAGUGGCUUACCAAGGCUUUGACGGGUAGCCGGCCUGAGAGGGUGACCGGCCACAUUGGGACUGAGGUACGGCCCAGACUGCUACGGGAGGCAGCAGUGGGGAAUAUUGCACAAUGGGCGGAAGCCUGAUGCAGCAACGCCGGGUGCGGGAUGACGGCCUUCGGGUUGUAAACCGCUUUCGCCUGUGACGAAGCGUGAGUGACGGUAAUGGGUAAAGAAGCACCGGCUAACUACGUG